rnacentral:rRNA from 1 species
AUUGAACGCUGGCGGCAGGCUUAACACAUGCAAGUCGAGCGGAGUGAUGGUGCUUGCACUAUCACUUAGCGGCGGACGGGUGAGUAAUGCUUAGGAAUCUGCCUAUUAGUGGGGGACAACAUCUCGAAAGGGAUGCUAAUACCGCAUACGUCCUACGGGAGAAAGCAGGGGAUCACUUGUGACCUUGCGCUAAUAGAUGAGCCUAAGUCGGAGUAGCUAGUUGGUGGGGUAAAGGCCUACCAAGGCGACGAUCUGUAGCGGGUCUGAGAGGAUGAUCCGCCACACUGGGACUGAGACACGGCCCAGACUCCUACGGGAGGCAGCAGUGGGGAAUAUUGGACAAUGGGGGGAACCCUGAUCCAGCCAUGCCGCGUGUGUGAAGAAGGCCUUAUGGUUGUAAAACACUUUAAGCAAGGAGGAGGCUCUUUUGGUUAAUACCCAAGAUGAGUGGACGUUACUCGCAGAAUAAGCACCGGCUAACUCUGUGCCAGCAGCCGCGGUAA